GACGAGGGAUCCUAGCGUUGUUCGGAAUCAUUGGGCGUAAAGCGGGUGUAGGUGGCUUUAUAAGUCAGGCGUGAAAUCCCAGGGCUUAACCCUGGACGUGCGCUUGAUACUGUUUAGCUUGAGUGUGGGAGAGGUUACUAGAAUUCCAGGUGUAGUGGUGAAAUACGUAGAUAUCUGGAGGAAUACCGGUGGCGAAGGCGGGUAACUGGCCCAACACUGACACUGAUGCCCGAAAGCGUGGGGAUCAAACAGG
rnacentral:rRNA from 1 species